CUGACUUAAACUGUGCUCUUUACACAAUCACUCAAUACCAGUGUGCAGGCCACAUGACAAGGCACUUCAUGAGAAAACCAUCAGCUGACAUGUCUAUAGAGACCAUUCUGUGCCAGAAACAGUUCCAGGUUUAGUGGAAUUCAGGGAACCCCUAGGAAGACAAGGCAGAAACCGUGAAAGAACAGAGGAAAUGGAGGCCAUCAAGACAACAACACCUCUAAAUCCACUGUGCAAAGCUCCUCAGAACUCACCUGGACUGAAGCAGCAAGCACAGGACCUGCACAGGAUAUUCAAAAUGAAGAGGCUAGGAUGCAAUUAUAAAAAUGAUAACCUGACCCAAGUUCCUGUCCUGACAAUGCUCUCCUGGGAAAGCUGGAAUAAAGACAUCCAAGCAUGGAGGAAUGUGUGAUGGAGAGAUGGGAAAAAUGAAACGCUGUGGAGAGAUGCAAGAGAAAGCAAAACUCAGGGAUCUGUGCACAGUGCAGAGAUGUAGCUAGAAACACAAAGCAGAGAGGAAGAGACAGGUGUGAGGAGAUCGUGGGGUCCUGAUCCUGGCUGUCACCAAGACAUUUUCUGGGUACAUUGUCCUGCUGCAGCUGAGGUAUGUGUUGAUGUCUCUGGUCUGAGUCACCACCAAAGCCCAAACUGAUACCUGUGGUCUGGGCUGCUGCUGGCGAUCUUGUGUUGAUAUGUAACCCUUUGUGAGGUGGCACGACUUAUUUAAAAUGAAGACAGUCGAUGUAACCUAAUCUAUUGCCAUUAUGUCUCCUCACAUCACCCAAGGUUUGAAUUAUUUCUUUCAGUAAAAACCCUAAAAACUGGUGCUAUUCAAGCAAUAAAUUUGCAAGCCUAGAAUGUGUGUUUAGCACUGAAUCUGUGUCAAACACUGAGUGACACACAGUACUGUCACCUAUGUGAAAACACUCAUGGCAAGUUUGGGUAUUUCACUGCUAAUGUAAGGCAUUUUUCAAGCUCAUUUGUUUAUGGCAUCAGCUAAUACCAAUGAUUCCCAUGUCUGACCUUCUAUUUGUAUUCAGACUCAUGCACUCACAGGAAACUCCAUCCAGGAGACACAACAUUGGGGCUGCCUUUGCAACUGAGUACCAGAGCUGAGCAGGGCUCUGGCAGGAUCUCAACCAAGAGAUUUGCUUUCCCAAGAGAGACUAAAAAGAUUCAGAUGAGCAGAGAACAGUCUUCAAAUCUGUUUUCAGCACACGUUUUUCAUAAGGUUUUAUUAUUGAAAAGUUACAUUCUGUUGCAUUUAUAUUCUUGUCAUUAUGUGACUUUAUGGGGAACACUUUAAAUUUGUGUGUGUGUGUGUGUGUGUGUGUGUGUGUUCAUGUUUGUGAAUGCAGUCACUCAUGCAUUGUGAUAUGCAUGUAGAUAACAGAUUUCACCGGGCUUAUUACACUCGGCCUGACCUUCCACUUUGUUUAAGGUUGGGUCUCUUGUUAUUCCUUAGUGUGUAGGCCAGGCUAAGUACUGCAGAGACCCUUGGAAUUCACCUCCCAUCUGCACAUAAGAGCGCUGGGGUGGAAGCUGCCUGGUACUCAUGAUAUGUGGAUAUUGGGUAUCUGAACUCAGGUC